rnacentral:rRNA from 1 species
GGGGGGGGCAAGCGUUGUUCGGAAUUACUGGGCGUAAAGGGCUCGUAGGCGGCCAACUAAGUCAGACGUGAAAUCCCCAGGCUCAACCUGGGAACUGCGUCUGAUACUGGAUGGCUUGAAUCCGGGAGAGGGAUGCAGAAUUCCAGGUGUAGCGGUGAAAUGCGUAGAUAUCUGGAGGAAUACCGGUGGCGAAGGCGGCAUCCUGGACCGGCAUUGACGCUGAGGAGCGAAAGCCAGGGGAGCAAACGGGAUUAGAUACCCCGGUAGUCCUGGCCCUAAACGAUGAAUGCUUGGUGUGACGGGUAUCGAUCCCUGUCGUGCCGAAGCUAACGCAUUAAGCAUUCCGCCUGGGGAGUACGGUCGCAAGGCUGAA